rnacentral:lncRNA from 1 species
AUGAAGCCGCGCUACUAUGAUCAUUUCUAUCCCGUGUCUAUAAAAAGCCUAUCAAAGGCGUACAGGGAUUCCACUGGGAAAGCGUCCAUUUGUGGGAAACAAUCAGUUAACAUGUGGCAGCGCACCAUCCCAGUGAAUCCAAACAGCAGGCAUAAGCUUGGUAGUUCUAGGAGUACGCUCUACUCAGUAGUUAAAAGGCUGGGUUGUCUGACUUGCUGGUACCUCGAUGAUGGACAUCGGUGCCUAGGCUCAGCUGUGUGUGGCUCCUGUGUCACCCUCUUAGGUCUCCCAUGGCCUCAUUUUACUUCAUCUGUCACUGCCUUAAUGACAGUAGCAAAAGUCCUCCUGGGACCCAGUCCUUUCCAGCUCAAAACAAUACUCCAGCAAAACUAAAUUCUAAGUGUUAAAAAGCACCAGAAACAAAAAGCUAUUUACUCAGUGUAUUUUUUUUUUUUUUUUACAUUUUGUUAUCUCCAUCCAGUGCUUGGUAAACCCUGUGGCUGUAUUAUAUAACCACAGAUCGACGUCCUGCUGUAAAAUGCGGACCUUCAAUUCCAAGUUCACAGGGCACAUCACAAGGAACUGUCAUGACUUAGUUAUCCUAAUGCAUUUUCUCCGGAAACAGCAGCAUUAAAACUCAUAAUGAGCUUUGCAGACCUAAAAUAAGAUGCCUGUGAAUUCAGACUCCUCCAAACAUGAUGAGAUUCAUCAAAGUGGGUGCAGUGUGUUGUCAGUCUAUUUACACUGAUUUUUUUUUCCCAGUUGGUCCCAAGAGGACACACAAUUUGACUCCUAAAUUCACUGCAGCAGAUGGCUCCCUGCGGCUGUGUGAACACGCAAAACAAAACUUGCGUUCCAGUACCCUACUAUAGGCGAUAAUUACUGAGCACAGACAGUAAGGUCUCUACCAGGAUUGUAUUUUCCUUCCGUAUCUUGAGUAGGUGUGCUACAGUUUUUAAUGCACUGUUCAAGUACAACUCUAUUUUUUAGCUCUAGCUCAGCAACUUGAAAACACUGGGAAGGUUUAAGAACAAUUACAUCCCUUGGGACCCAUGCUAUGGCGCAGUGGGUAAAGCCACCACCUGCAGUGCUGCAUUGCUGGCAUCCCAUAUGAGCGCUGGUUUGAGUCCCAGUUGCUCCACUUCCGAUCCAGCUCUCUGCUGUGGCCUGGGAAAUCAGUAGAAGAUGGCCCAAGUCCUUGGGCCCUUGAACCCAUGUGGGAGACCAAGAAGAAGCUCCUGGCUCCUGGCUUUGGAUUGGCACAGCUCCGGCGGUUGCCGCCAUCUGGGGAGCGAACCAAUGGAUGGAAGACCUCUCUCUCUACCACUCUGCCUCUGCCUCUCUGUAACUCUGCCUUUCAAAUGAAUAAAUAAAUCUUAAAAAAAAAAAAAAAAAGAACA